AGAAAAGGCUUGAUGACUUAGAU
rnacentral:siRNA from 1 species